CCCUUAGAUGUCCGGGGCUGCACGCGCGCUACACUGAAGGAAUCAGCGUGCUAAAACCAUUGUCGAAAGGCAUUGGUAAACCCAUUAAAAUCCUACGUGAUUGGGAUCGGGAAUUGCAAUUAUUUCCCUUGAACGAGGAAUUCCCAGUAAGUGUGGGUCAUAAGCUCGCGUUGAUUACGUCCCUGCCCUUUGUACACACCGCCCGUCGCUGCCCGGGACUGAGCCGUUUCGAGAAAAGCGGGGACUGCUGCUGUCGGGGCUUUCGGGCCUUGGCUUCGGUGGAAACCGCUUUAAGCGCAGUGGCUUGAACCGGGCAAAAGUCGUANCA
rnacentral:rRNA from 1 species